UAAUACGGAGGGUGCAAGCGUUGCUCGGAAUUAUUGGGCGUAAAGGGUAGGUAGGUGGUCUCAUUUGUCUGGGGUGAAAGCCUUGAGCUUAACUCAAGAAGUGCCCUAGAAACGGUGAGACUGGAGUCCUGGAGAGGGUCGUGGAAUUCCCGGUGUAGCGGUGAAAUGCGUAGAGAUCGGGAGGAACACCAGAGGCGAAAGCGGCGACCUGGACAGGUACUGACACUCAACUACGAAAGCGUGGGGAGCAAACAGGAUUAGAUACCCUGGUAGUCCACGCUGUAAACGAUGGGUACUAGGUUUGGUGGGUCUUGACCCCCGCCGAACCGGCGCUAACGCAAUAAGUACCCCGCCUGGGAAGUACGGUCGCAAGACUA
rnacentral:rRNA from 1 species